rnacentral:rRNA from 1 species
AACCUGGGAACUGCAUUCGAAACUGGCAGGCUAGAGUCUUGUAGAGGGGGGUAGAAUUCCAGGUGUAGCGGUGAAAUGCGUAGAGAUCUGGAGGAAUACCGGUGGCGAAGGCGGCCCCCUGGACAAAGACUGACGCUCAGGUGCGAAAGCGUGGGGAGCAAACAGGAUUAGAUACCCUGGUAGUCCACGCCGUAAACGAUGUCGAUUUGGAGGUUGUGCCCUUGAGGCGUGGCUUCCGGAGCUAACGCGUUAAAUCGACCGCCUGGGGAGUACGGCCGCAAGGUUAAAACUCAAAUGAAUUGACGGGGGCCCGCACAAGCGGUGGAGCAUGUGGUUUAAUUCGAUGCAACGCGAAGAACCUUACCUGGUCUUGACAUCCACAGAACUUAGCAGAGAUGCUUUGGUGCCUUCGGGAACUGUGAGACAGGUGCUGCAUGGCUGUCGUCAGCUCGUGUUGUGAAAUGUUGGGUUAAGUCCCGCAACGAGCGCAACCCUUAUCCUUUGUUGCCAGCGGUCCGGCCGGGAACUCAAAGGAGACUGCCAGUGAUAAACUGGAGGAAGGUGGGGAUGACGUCAAGUCAUCAUGGCCCUUACGACCAGGGCUACACACGUGCUACAAUGGCAUAUACAAAGAGAAGCGACCUCGCGAGAGCAAGCGGACCUCAUAAAGUAUGUCGUAGUCCGGAUUGGAGUCUGCAACUCGACUCCAUGAAGUCGGAAUCGCUAGUAAUCGUAGAUCAGAAUGCUACGGUGAAUACGUUCCCGGGCCUUGUACACACCGCCCGUCACACCAUGGGAGUGGGUUGCAAAAGAAGUAGGUAGCUUAACCUUCGGGAGGGCGCUUACCACUUUGUGAUUCAUGACUGGGGUGAAGUCGUAACAAGGUAACCGUAGGGGAACCUGCGGUUGGAUCACCUCCUUACCUUAAAGAA